AAAUUCCUUGUCGGGUAAGUUCCGACCUGCACGAAUGGCGUAACGACUUCCCCGCUGUCUCCAACAUAGACUCAGCGAAAUUGAAUUACCUGUCAAGAUGCAGGUUUCCCGCGGUUAGACGGAAAGACCCCGUGCACCUUUACUACAGCUUCACACUGGCAAUAGGUCAGGCAUGUGCAGGAUAGGUGGUAGGCUUUGAAGCAGGGACGCUAGUCCUUGUGGAGCCACCCUUGAGAUACCACCCUUGCCUCGCUUGUUGUCUAACCGCGGUCCGUUAUCCGGAUCCGGGACCCUGUGUGGUGGGUAGUUUGACUGGGGUGGUCGCCUCCUAAAGCGUAACGGAGGCGCGCGAAGGUUGGCUCAGAGCGGUCGGAAAUCGCUCGUUGAGUGCAAUGGCAGAAGCCAGCCUGACUGCGAGACUGACAAGUCGA
rnacentral:rRNA from 12 species